GACGUUAAGCAAAUCACAAAAACCCAGUCCCAGUUCGGAUUGUAGUCUGCAACUCGACUACAUGAAGCUGGAAUCGCUAGUAAUCGCGAAUCAGCAUGUCGCGGUGAAUACGUUCCCGGGCCUUGUACACACCGCCCGUCACACCAUGGGAGUUGGAAGCACCCGAAGUCGGUGA
rnacentral:rRNA from 1 species